rnacentral:rRNA from 1 species
CCUACGGGAGGCAGCAGUGGGGAAUAUUGGACAAUGGGCGCAAGCCUGAUCCAGCCAUGCCGCGUGAGUGAUGAAGGCCCUAGGGUUGUAAAGCUCUUUUGUGCGGGAAGAUAAUGACGGUACCGCAAGAAUAAGCCCCGGCUAACUUCGUGCCAGCAGCCGCGGUAAUACGAAGGGGGCUAGCGUUGCUCGGAAUCACUGGGCGUAAAGGGUGCGUAGGCGGGUUUUUAAGUCAGAGGUGAAAUCCUGGAGCUCAACUCCAGAACUGCCUUUGAUACUGAAGAUCUUGAGUUCGGGAGAGGUGAGUGGAACUGCGAGUGUAGAGGUGAAAUUCGUAGAUAUUCGCAAGAACACCAGUGGCGAAGGCGGCUCACUGGCCCGAUACUGACGCUGAGGCACGAAAGCGUGGGGAGCAAACAGGAUUAGAUACCCUGGUAGUCCACGACCGUAACGAUAGAUGCACGCGUACGUGGUUACGUCUACUAGUGGCGCNGCUACGUACUUAGUCAUUCCGUCCGUGGGAGGUACGGUCGCGAGAGUUAAACGUAACGUAAAGAAGUUAGUUACGGUCGUUGAGACGUUGCCGACGGCGACGACGAGGGGAGGAGG